rnacentral:tRNA from 1 species
GGGGCCAUAGCUCAACAGGGAGAGCAGCGGCUUUGCAAGCCGCCGGUUGCGGGUUCGAUCCCGUUGGCUCCACCA